AGCAGCCGCGGUAAUUCCAGCUCCAAUAGCGUAUAUUAAAGUUGUUGCAGUUAAAAAGCUCGUAGUUGAAUUUCGGGAUUGACACAUCGGUCGUGCCUUAAGGGGUAUGAACUGGUGUAGUCAAUUUCUCACCUUCUGGAGAACCACGAUGCCCUUAAUUGGGUGUCGCGGGGAACCAGGACCUUUACUUUGAAAAAAUUAGAGUGUUUAAAGCAGGCAUUUUGCUUGAAUACAUUAGCAUGGAAUAAUAAAAUAGGACGGCAUGAUUCUAUUUUGUUGGUUUCUAGGAUCACCGUAAUGAUUAAUAGGGAUAGUUGGGGGCAUUAGUAUUCAAUUGUCAGAGGUGAAAUUCUUGGAUUUAUUGAAGACUAACUACUGCGAAAGCAUUUGCCAAGGAUGUUUUCAUUAAUCAAGAACGAAAGUUAGGGGAUCGAAGACGAUCAGAUACCGUCGUAGUCUUAACCAUAAACUAUGCCGACUAGGAUCGGAUGAUGUUAAUUUUUAAUGUACUCGUUUGGCA
rnacentral:rRNA from 1 species